UAAGCCAUACCACAUUGAAAACACCGGUUCUCAUCCGAUCACCGAAGUUAACGGUCAGUACUUGGGAGGGUGACCACUUGGGAACAACUGAGUGCUGUAGGCU